GUGCAUGAUUUGGAUUUAAUUGAUCCGGUGUAACUUUAAAACACGUUUAAGGAUUAUUUUCUUAAAAUGUAUAUUUUUCAGCACCAGUUUGUAACAGAUAAGUUUUUCAAUCCAGGAGCGGACAUUUUUAUUGUAGGAUUUCACUGAGAUUUACGGACCUAGCAAGCGUUUUUUACGGCAUUGCCAUUUCUUUUCUCUAGGAAAAGUCUUGAGAGAUAUCGGCACCACGUUGUUUUAUGAACCUUUAGUACAUGUAUGCCCUGCUGACUGUAAAUUUUGGGAUCGAUUGGACUUGUAGUUUCAGUGUUUAAGUGAUAACAAGGUGGUGGAUUUUUUUUCAGAAGAGAU
rnacentral:lncRNA from 1 species